CAAGGUUUUUGGUCAUUCCAAUUUUUCAUUUUUGAAUUGUCCAUUCUGUCCUUAGCUUUUUACACCCAUAUCACAUAACCCAACCCAUUAAUCUUUUUGUCUUUUGAACUUUCCCUGUUGCUUUCCGGUUCUGCACAGCUUGAAUGGAUUUUUGUUCUACGAUUUUCUUAAUCAAACACAAAGACAACGUUUAAAGUUAGUAAAAGGGUAUUUUUUUUUUGUUGUAGAGGUCUGUUUGGUUUAUUUUUGUUAUGGUUGCAGUUCUUAUUGUUGUUGGUUUGUAUGGGUUGUGAAUUUAUAUCUGUGUAGAACUUUUACAUUUUGCUUGUGAUUCUUUUUCUUUAGCUUUUUGGUGUAGCACUUCGUUGAAAAAGGUCCUAUACGAUCGGUACCUUUUUCCGAAAAGGUAAGUUUAGUGUUUGUGGUUUUGUUUCAUUUCUCUAUGUGCUAAUGCUUUUCUGCAGGUGUCGUUUAUGGUUACAUUGGUGUUCUUUUGAAGUUUAAGAUGCACUGAAGUCACCAUAUAUUGCGACUAUGGGGGUUUAUGUAUUCAAGACUGACGUUUUACUCAAUCUUCUCAACUGUAGGCAUCCACCUCCAAUAACUUCAGAUCUAAAACCAUCCCUGCAGCUUAGAAUUUUUUCAUAGAUUAUUAGGAAGACAUUGGAAAAAUAAAAUCCUCGUAUGACGCUAACUUGGCUCUUACUGAAGAGAGUCACAAGUUCGAGUUUUAUGACCCCAAAUUUACACAUCUCCAGGAUCCUACCACCAACUAAGAUUGACAAAUGUCGGAUUAUGGAUGUUAUUAUUUCUCGUGGAUGUUUCCUGCGAGAAUAGAUAGUCCAAGCAAUAUGGAGGAGUUGCAAAACGUAGCAGCUAAAUUGUCAACAGAAAAGUGGUUAGAUUUGGCAUGUAAGUCAGGGUCGAAGCCUGUUAGCAUUAGCAUUGGUUACUAUGUUUUGUUGUUGAAGAUAAUUGUUUCAAUGACUAUGAUUCUCUAACAGUUAUCAAUAUAUAUGUAAGAAAAACUACCAUUAGGUAAAAUACAAUAGUGACCCUACUUAUUAUUCUCACACGUGCCCAAAAUUCAUGUUUUUUGGGCAUUCCAAUUCUUCAUUGGCGAAUUGCUCAUUCUGAUAUCAUUUUGUUGCGGUUAAGAAAUUUGGGUUGAAAGCAACCAUCCAUGUGAAUAUUUCAUUUUGUAAAGUGGAUAAACUGAGAAAGGUAGAUGUUUCUUCAUUCUAAUAGUUUUCAAUUUUUCCAGGUGAUGGGUCUGCAAGUUUUUGCUAUGUCGUGUAUUACUUUGAAACCUUUGGUUCCAAGUUUUUAUGAGGGUUCACAAAUUUGCUGAUUUCGUUGUUUUACUCGGUUGCUUCAGGGUAUAUUGUUUACUUUGCUGUGUUAGUUCUUUUUUCGGUAGGUACAACAUAUACUUUUAAAAAAGAAGGAAUAAGCACUUUCAUUUCUCAUUCACAUUGAUGUUUUUGUGGACACUCUUCCUUUUGCUUAUGAUUAU